AUGGAUCCAGAGCUUGGGGAGGUGACAGAUGAGGAAGAGGAGGUAGUGCAGGCAGUGGAUGUGAGGAGGCAAAGGGCUCGCCCUGCAGUGCAGGCAGUGGAGUGGGAGCUGGAGUUCAAGAGGAGGCUGGCAGAGAAGAUCUUGGAGAAGUGCAACUCAGAUGAGUUCACAGUUCUUGUCCCUGGCGGCAGGCGCAAGAGCUCAGGGAAGAUCAUCAGGUGGGCUAGGAGACAGGCAGUACUCGCUCCUCACCCUUCUACCAGAGCAAAGUGGUGUCGUUUCUUCGCUCGUUACGAUUGA
rnacentral:rRNA from 1 species